AACUUGCGUGCAUUUGUCUUGAACAACAUGAGUCAGUGACGUCCCAUCGCAACCGAAACCAAGGGCCCGCCUGAGCGUGAUAACUGUUGACGGAUCGUGUACACGUUUUUGCGACAAAAUCGGGAAUUGUUGUAGUGGAGCUUUCCACAAGGUUAAGCAAACUGACUGCAGCCGGGCUGUUUGAGGCUCUCUUUCCAGCUCCUUUCUGGCCUACCGGGCUCCAGCCCUCCAAACUUGACAGCUAGCACUUAGCCACUUGACACGGUAACCUCCUGUUUGGCCCCUUGACUGACCUGGUUGCCGUCAGCCGCAGUUUGCCGGCCGCUCGAUUUCCACGCGCACGAGAAACAUCUGCGGGGCGUCAGGCAACUUUGAUUACGAAGAGUUACCCCAAAUAUGGAAAUCCUGCUGCUGUCUUGCAGCUAGGCGAAGCUAAAAUAAGAGCAACAGCCGGGCGUCCUCCCCACCGGUGAUCAGCAUCCCCCUGACCUCGUCCCACACGAAGCACCUGACAGUGGCGGUGUGUCCUCCGUGGAGGCUCGCAAGAAGAUGCAGCCCGUCGCCGUCGCACUCCAUCAGGCAGACGUCGCCGCCCUUGUCCCCGCCCACCACCAGCAACUUGCCUGCUCCUUCCAGCCAAGCCCCGCCCACCAGGUAGUCCAGGCGCCGCCCGCCCGGCACCAGUUCCAGGUGGCGCACGUCCGGGCAGCUGAAGACAGCGAGGGGUCGGUCAGUGUCCAGCUGGCGCAGGUCCCACAGGCGCAGUCCCUCGUCGGGGCUGAGGCACAGCAGGUGGCUGCCGUCGGCCUCCGCCCAGCACACGGACACCGCCGCCGAGUCGUCCUUGCAUGUGCAGAGCAGUGCUUCCUCCUCUGAGCCGCGUCGCAGGUCGAACACGUUCACCAGGCCAUCGGAGGAGCCCGAUGCCAGCCGGUCCUUGUCGUGCGGAUGGAAGCGCACCUGCGUGAUGUCGUCGCUGUGAGACUCAGAGUACACGCCCAGCGGGACCGUGUUGGGCUUCCUGCUGUCCCAGAACAUCAACAGGCUGUCUUCGUCUACCAGCUGAGCCAUGCAAAAGACAAGGAGAAAAAUCAACCGGAGACACACAAAGCUCUGACAUGCUUUGCCAACCAAAACUUUCUUCUGCACAUUCCCCCUUUUGGGGUGAAUGGCCCCAAGACAAACUCAUGUGAUGAGACCAGUCCUUGAAUAAUUGGAGUGCACGAGGAAUGUUUGAUUUGAUGGCCACUGUCAGGAAGACCAGCCGCAGUAACUAUGGUUGCAUGCUUUGGGGGACCAAGGUGAUGAGAAGUCUGAAGUCAGAAUAAAAUCUUUGCAAA